rnacentral:rRNA from 1 species
UGCACUGUUGGCAGGCUGGCGGGGUAAUACAGUGGGGUCUGGCGUUAAUCGGAAUUACUGGGGGUAAAGCGAUGGUAGGUGGCUCAUUAAGUCAAAGUGGAAAUCCCCGGGCUUAACCUGGGAACUGCAUGUGAUACUGGUGGUGCUAGAAUAGGUGAGAGGGAAGUAGAAUUCCAGGUGUAGCGGUGAAAUGCGUAGAGAUCUGGAGGAAUACCGAUGGCGAAGGCAGCUUCCUGGCAUAAUAUUGACACUGAGAUUCGAAAGCGUGGGUAGCAAACAGGAUUAGAUACCCCAGUAGUC